UACCGGGGGCGGGCGCCGCUCUUUGACCCUCGGGUUGGUCGGGGAGCCCGAUUUUGUCGGGAAAGCCGGAUCCGCGCCGGGAUGUGGACAAAGACACGGAGCAGCUGUUCGGGAAUAAAGCUGAAAUAGUAGAACCUGGGAGAGAAGUUAGCUUGGGGGAGCUAUUAUUUUCGCCGCAAAACCCUCGGGAGGUAUUAAACAGCUGCAUCCAAACGACGGAGCGACCCAAAGGCCGGGAUCCCACCGCCUCGCCGUCGAGCAGCGGGCGCGUGGCUCAGCGCACGGCCGCAGGCGGAGCACCCCCGGCCCCGCAGCCCCUCGCCAAUGAUGGGUGUAAUGUAACGUUCCUCUCGCCAAGAGCAGCGCGGCAGAGUGGUUGAGAGCACUGUGCUGGACGGAGGACGGCCGGCCGCGAGCGGAGCCUCCCCUCAGCGAGCACUGCCCGGCGAGGAGAGGAAACCCGGGCAGCCUUAAAACGCUCAGAGUGUAAUGUGACGCUUCCAAACCUUUGCAGCCUGCGGGUGAAAGUCUGCUCGAGGAGCCUGAAGACGCACCAUCCCCACUUAUCGCCCCAGAGGCAGACUAUCUAGCUGACAAGCUG